GAUGAACGCUAGCGGCAGGCCUAAUACAUGCAAGUCGAACGAUAGUAUUAAGCUUGCUUAAUAUGAAAGUGGCGCACGGGUGCGUAACGCGUAUGAAACCUACCUUAAUCAGGGGGAUAGCCUUUCGAAAGAAAGAUUAAUACCGCAUAAUAUCACGAUGGGGCAUCCUGUUGUGAUCAAAUAUUUAUAGGAUUAAGAUGGUCAUGCGUGACAUUGGCUAGUUGGAGAGGUAAUGGCUCACCAAGGCGACGAUGUCUAGGGGAUCUGAGAGGAUGGCCCCCCACACUGGUACUGAGACACGGACCAGACUCCUACGGGAGGCAGCAGUAAGGAAUAUUGGUCAAUGGGCGGAAGCCUGAACCAGCCAUGCCGCGUGCAGGAAGACGGCCCUACGGGUUGUAAACUGCUUUUAUCGGGAAUAAAUCUUUCUACGUGUAGGGAGUUGAAUGUACUGAAAGAAUAAGGAUCGGCUAACUCCGUGCCAGCAG
rnacentral:rRNA from 1 species